rnacentral:lncRNA from 1 species
AUCCUGUCUUUCCCAGCAUCAAGGUCUUUUACAGUAAGCAUACAAGUAAGGCACAAAUAUUAAACAGCAGACACACAGUACAUGCUACGUGCCAGGUACCAACUUCUAACUUUCCCCUGGCCAUAAUGGUAUGACAGAACAUCUCAGAAAUUACAUUAAAAUAAUACUGUCAUUAGAUCUCAUAAUCCAUCUGAUCUACCAGAGCUAGAAGAAAUGAAGAAGAUGGUUGGUUAUGUAACUAACACUAAGCCACANNNNNNNNNNNNNNNNNNNNNNNNNNNNNNNNNNNNNNNNNNNNCUGCCACUAUCUCAUAACAACCUUAUAUAAAUUUUAUCACUGACAGUCUUAUCCUCAUUGAAUUCAUUCAAGGUAAAGGACAAAAAUCAGUGGCUAAAUUAUCUUACUAUAAUACAGUAUGCCCUCUUGUUUAUUUACUAAGACAUGCUUUGAAGUAAGACAGCCAUUUACUGACUGUGUGACCUUAACAAAGUUAUUUAAAGCUUCAGUCUCAGUUAUGAAAUCUAGACAAUAAUUAUUAGACUGUCAUUAAUGGCAGUUGCUAUUAAUAUGCUAUUAAUAUCAAACAUCUAUCCCUUUACAUAAAUGCAUUUUAAUUCUCAGAAUAAGGCAGCUCAUAUCCUUAUUUUAAUUUAUAUGUAAACUAUCUGGUUUCCAAAUAACAUCUGUAAAAAUUUUAUGAAAAACUAGAUCACAGGUCUAAGUACUGAUAUUUAAUAACAGAUUCAUAUAUAUCAUCUAAAUAUAUCCAUCUAACCUUAUUGUGGGAUUGGAACGAGAUCAAAUCUUUAACUAUGAGACCUUUUAGUAUAAAGAAUAUGCUUGAAAACUAGUAAGAAUCACUUAACAUUGACUAUAUGUCAUUUAGCCUUCUGAACAUUUUAAACAUAGUAUUUAAUACAGCCUAUGAAGUAAUAGUAUAAUUCUGAUUUUACGAAAGAGUAAAUAAAGGGUAAGUUGGUCAAGGUCACCUUGCCUAGUCAGUGGUAGCACAGAACUGUGAAACCAGGCAAUAUGGUUUCAGAAUCUAAGUUCUUAUCCACCCAUUACUGUCUUUCAAAGAAAAGCCAAGAGCUUAUUUAAAAUUGAAAACCUUGAAGGUAACAAGCAAAUUUUAUAAUUUUCCUUCUGUUGUGUUCAACAUAUUAUAAUUACUAAGGAAAAUUAACAUGAAAUUAAAAGAUACUCCUUGGAAGAAAAGUUAUGACCAACCUAGAU